CAGAACUCACACUUGGAGAACUUGGCAUACAAACUGUGUUCCCUCAAGGUCUGCAAGACUAACCUCAGAUGAUGGGCAUGCUCCUCUGCAUUCCUGGAAUACACUAAGAUAUCAUCUAUGAAGACAAUAACAAAGUGAUUCAGAUACUGACUGAAAACUCUGUUCAUGAGGUCUAUGAAUGCUGCAGGGGCAUUGGUUAACUCGAACGGCAUCACAAGGAACUCAUAGUGCCCAUAUCUGGUUCUGAUUGCCGUCUUCGGCACAUCCUCUUCUCUUAUUCUCAGCUGAUGGUACCCGGAUCUCAGAUCUUUCUUGGAGAAACAACCCGCUCCUGCUAGCUGGUCAAAUAGAUCGUCGAUUCUUGGCAACGGGUACUUAUUCUUGGUAGUGACCUUGUUCAACUGCCUGUAGUCGAUACAAAGUCUGAGGGAUCCAUCCUUCUUUUUCACAAACAGUACUGGAGCACCCCAAGGUGAGGUACUCGGUCGGAUGAAGUCCUUAUCUACCAGCUCUUGCAACUGUUCUUUCAAUUCUUUCAACUCUGCUGGCGCCAUCCUGUAGGGAGGAAUAAAGAUUGGUCUGAUUCCAGGCAUCAAUUCGAUUUCAAACUCUAUCUCCCUAGCAGGUGGUAAACCUGGCAGCUCGUCUGGGAAAACAUCUAAAAACUCUCUGACCACGGGCAUUGAGGCGGGCUCUCUAACAUGACUAUCCAGCUCUCUCACAUGAGCUAGAAAACCCUGACAACCCCUCCUGAGCAACCUAUGAGCCUGUAGGGCUGAUAUCAAACCUCUAGGUGUACCCCUCCUGUCUCCUGUGAAGACAACCUUCGACCCAUCCUGACCUCUGAACCUGACUACCUUGUCUCUGCAGUCCAAGGUAGCACCAUGGGUAGAUAGCCAAUCCAUCCCUAGAAUGACAUCAAAAUCUGUCAAAUCUAGAACCACAAGGUCGGCUGGAAGGCGUCUUUCCUCCACAAACACUGGACAAAGCCGACAGACUGAUUCUGCCACUGAUGGAUCACACUUGGGUCCACUGACCCAAAGGGGACACUCUAACCCAGAGACCAUCAAAUCCAACCUCUCGACGGCUCUCGGAGCAACAAAAGAAUGAGAUGCACCAGGGUCCAUUAAGGCAUAAACAUCUGAACAACCAAUGAUGAGAUUACCUAACACCACGGUGUUUGAUGCAUUUGCCUCCUGCUGUGUCAUCGUGAAGAUCUGUGCUGGAGCUGAUGGACCUUCACCCCUGAAACCCGCUGAAGAAGAAGCUGCCCCUCUCCCUCUGCCUCUGCCACUGGCCUGAGUCGAAGCUGGAGCUACUGGCUGAGCCAUGCUACCAGAAGCUGUCUGCUGGGACUAUGCCAUAAAAGCUGCUCUAGGACACUCCCGUGCCAUGUGUCCCUCCUGCCCACAUUUGAAGCAGGUUGUCGUCCCAAACCGACAUACUCCCUUGUGCGGCUUCCCACACUUCAUACAUACUGCACUAUCUGCACCUAAGCUCGAGCCACCUCCUAAUCCCAGACCUGACUUUAUCUUGUUCCAGAACUUGUUCUUCUUUGACUUCUCGGUGGUAUUACCCCACUUUUUACUGCCUGAAGCUGCUGCACUCAAAGAAGAAGGGUCCAACUUUCCCCCACCGGGGGUCUUGGAACCAGAAGACUGUGCCACUAAUUGCUUAACUUUUCCUUCGAUUAUUGCACUAGCCUCCAUUCUCCGGGCCAUAUCCACUAUGGCAUGGAAACUCUCCCUCUCUACUGACUGGAUCAAGGAGGAAUACCUGGAAUGAAGCCUCAUGAUAUACCUCCUAGCCUUCUUCUGAUCUGCGUCAAGGUUUUGCCCGGCAAACGGCAAUAGCUCCAAGAACCUAUCUGUGUACUCAUCUACACUCAUCUCCUCCAUCUGCCUUAGUUGCUCAAACUCGAUCAUCCUCAACUCCCUUGAACUAUCAGGGAAAGCCCAUCCUGCAAACUCAUUAGCAAACUCCUCCCAUGAUAGGCUAUCCAACCUCGGGUUCAUAUAGUUUUUAAACCACUCUCGGGCCUUCUUACAUUUCAGUGUGAACCCAGCCAUCUGAAUGUAUAACGACCCGAAAAUCAAACCGCUACCGGCGCUAGGAUCCAGAUCGGCUUAAGGCUGCCGGGACCCAUAGCAAGCCAAACAAUCAUCCUGUGAACCUGUUUAAUCCCAUACAUGAUCAACAUCAUACAUAAAAAUUUGAACAUUUCUUUCCAUUCAAUCACCAAACUCAACCUGUGCAUGCACUAUACAUAAUCAUAAACAUUAACCCCUCUUUGGAGUCCUCAUCAAUGCUCCAAUGGGGUGACAUACCUUUGAGUUUGGCUAAACAUAGUCAUUUAUUAAAAUCAUUACAUUUAAAAGAUCAUGUAAACAAAGGGGAUUAACAUACAACUAGGGUCAAGCACAACUAUAAACCUCAAUAGACAUCCUUACAUUACCUAAUUGUACUAAACAUUAUACAUCAACAUUUUUCAUGUCCACACUAGCUAUUACAUGACCAUAACUUCGUUACUCUUGCUGACCUCCUGGUCUACCCUGUACCUGCAAACCUGGGGUUAUGGGAGUGGGGUGAGCUACUAGAGCCCAGUGAGCAGAAUGAUAAAAAAUUUUAUUUAAACAUAUGAUAACAUGGAAUGCAUCACAUCACAACUAAUCACAUCAAAGAUGAAUUUGUCACCCAUAGCCCUCUAAGUGGUCCAACUGUGCCAGGGGCGUAGAAUGGACCUCACUGGUCUUUCUCUUACAUAACAUAUCAUAACAUAACAUUCCAACUAUGCCAGGGGCGUAGAAUGGGCCUCGCUGGUCUUUCUCUUACAUAGUGCCAGGGGCAUAGAAUGGGCCUCACUGGUCUUCCAUACCGUAUCAUAUCAUACCAUAUCAUAUCGUGGGAGGGCUAAAGGAUCAUUCAACAUUCAUCCACAUCAUCAACAAAUUAUGCAAUGCAGCAUAUUCGUGAAUUCUAAUGCAAACAACCUAUUACAUCUCAUGGCAUUCAUGAUGCGUGAAUCAUACUAAGAAUUGAUUUAUUUACUUUAAAACAUAAAGAGUUAUUCCACUCACCUCUGGCUGAAGCUCUACUGACUCUGACGUAGCUAAACUCACUGCUGGGGUCCUCGGUUCAUCGGGUCCGAACCUACACAGGUGGACUCAAAUGAGGGACCAAACAAACAUAAACAUGACUCUAAAAUACUCCCCAGAAACCCCCUAAAACACCUUAAAACAAUCAUAGAAAUCAUGCAAAGGAGGGCUGAACAGGGCACUUUCGGCGGCAGGUUCAGCGGCCGAAAGGCCCUCUAGAGCCGAAAGUCAUGCACCUUCGGCGGCACUUUCGGCAGCCGAAGGUUCCCUCCGGAGACGAAACUCAUGCAUGUUCGGCGGCACCUUCGGCGGCCGAAACUCCCUUCCAGAGCCGAAAGUCCACUUUCGGGGGCAGGGUUCGGCAGCCGAUUCAUGCUACCACAGGCAGGUUCGGCGGCCGAAAGAACCUUCGGCUGCUGAACUUGGUUUCUCCUAAAAGGGCAGAAACUCAGCUCAACAUACAUAAACGCCUCCUAACUCAUUCAAUCAUGCAUUUUCCUAUUCUACAACAUGCAUACUCAAUCAUACAAGCUCCUAGGGGCUUCAACUAUCCUAAACCCCAACUACAACACAUCAAACAUGCAUAUCCAACACACAUUGUCCAUUUCAUCACAUAAAACCUAACAAGGUUCAACUAACCUAAACAUGCAUUUCUACCCCAUAGAUCCACUUAAAGCUUGUUUAAAACAUACAAUGAGCUCAAGAUCGGCUCUUACCUCUUGAAGAUCGAGAGAGAGACGACCUAAACUUGGAAACCAAAGGAAAAGAGCUCCUGAGUCUUCCAAGCCCCAAAACUUGCUUAAAUGCUCAAAAUCUUCAAAACAAAGUAAAAACUCAUGAAAAUCAUGAAAGAUUUGAAGAAAAGGACUCAAAAACGGCGAGGGACGGCGGAGAACUCACCUUGGCCGAAAAUGGGGAGAAAAGCUCGCCCAUUCGGACAAGGGGACCCUUUUAUAGGUGGCUGGCCAGGCCACUUUCGGGGAUCUAACGUGCCUCCGCAUGCAUGCCAUGUUCGGCGGCCGAACUUGAGGUUCGGCGGCCGAACCUGGACUUCCCUCACUUAUGCUUUCGGGGGCCUAAAGCACUCCCGAAGCGCAAGCAUGUUCGGCGACCGAACUUGAGGUUCGGCGGUCGAACCUGAGUCUUUCUCUCAAGACUAUUUUCAUUCAAAACUUAAUUUCUUUCUUGCUUAAAACCAUAAAAUAUAUUAAAACAUUUUAUGAAAACAUGAUUUUACCCUUCUAGAGGUUUUCGACAUCCGAGAUUCCACUGGACGGUAGGAAUUCCGAUACCGGAGUCUAGCCGGGUAUUACAUUCUUCUCCCCUUAAGAACAUUCGUCCCCGAAUGUUCACCAAACAAACAUAACAUUCAUACAAAGCACAUAAAAACUCACUUUAGAAGAGAUGAGGAUAUUGCUGGAGCAUGGACUCCCGUGUCUCCCAGGUACACUCCUCAAUGUUGUGGUGAUUCCAAAGGACUUUCACCAUCGGGAUUUCCUUGUUCCUUAGCUUUCUGAUCUGGGUGUCUAUGAUCCGCACCGGCUGCUUAAGAUAGGUGAGAUCUUCUUGGAUCUCCAUAUCAGGCUAACUAAGAACCUUACUCGGAUCUAACAGAAACUUUCUUAACAUGGAAACAUGGAAAACCGGAUGGAUUCUUUCCAUUGAAGCAGGUAAAUCCAGCUUAUACGAUACAUUCCCAAUCUUUUGCAAGACUUGAAAGGGUCUGAUGUACCGCGGGCUAGCUUACCUUUCUUCCCAAAUCGAAUCACCCCUUUCAUUGGAGACACCUUGAGCAAUACCAAAUCCCCCUCCUGAAACUCUACUUGCCUUCUGCGGAUAUCUGCAUAACUCUUCUGUCUGCUUGCAGCAGUCUUGAUCCUUUCCCUGAUUAUGGGCACCACCCUGCUGGUGAUCUCUACUAGUUCAGGCCCUGCCAAGGCCUUUUCUCCAACUUCUUCCCAGCAGACAGGCGAUCGGCACUUCCUUCCAUAUAAAGCUUCAUAUGGAGCCAUCCCUAUACUAGCAUGAUGACUGUUAUUGUAGGCAAACUCCACCAAGGGUAGAUGUUGCCUCCAAGAACCGCCAAAAUCCAGCACACACAUUCUGAGCAUAUCCUCUAUUGUCUGGAUGGUCCUCUCUGACUGUCCGUCCGUCUGUGGAUGGAAAGCAGUGCUAAAAUCCAACCUGGUACCCAUAGCGUUCUGCAGGCUCCGCCAAAACCUAAAGGUAAACUAGGGCCCUCUAUCCGACACUAUUGAAAUAGGAACCCCAUGCAGCCUGACGAUCUCAUCUACAUACACCUGUGCCAACUUGUCCACAGAAUAGCCACUCCUGACAGGAAUGAAGUGAGCAGAUUUGGUGAGUCUGUCCACAAUCACCCAUAUGGAGUCCAAUCUGUUGGACGCUACCGGUAACCCCACCACGAAGUCCAUAGCUAUAUUCUCCCAUUUCCACUCUGGAAUAGGUAGUGGGUUAAGCAUUCCAGCCGGCUUCUGAUGUUCCAGCUUCACCCUCUAACACACUUCGCAGGCUGACACAAACUGUGCCACUUCCUUCUUUAUAGCUGGCCACCAAUAGACCUUCUUCAGAUCUUGAUACAUCUUGGUGGCUCCGGGGUGAACACUGUAUCUGGCAUUAUGAGCCUCUUUCAUAAUGUCUCCCUUUAGCCCUAUGUCAUCUGGUACACAAAGUCUGCUCCCAUAGCGGAGGAUCAUCUUGCUGUUAAAUCUGAACUCACUAUCAUUGCCUGACUGAACAGUCCUGGCAAUCUUCACUAACUCUGGGUCCUCAUGCUGUUUCUGAGCUACCUGCUCCAGAAAUACGGGUGCCACUCUCAUUUGGGCAACCAAGGCACCAGUACCAGACAACUCCAACUGUAGACCUUCAUUCAUGAGCUUGAAGAACUGCCUAACCACUAGUCUUCUCUCUGCUGCAAUAUGGGACAAACUGCCAAGUGAUUUCCGGCUUAAGGCGUCUGCCACAACAUUCGCCUUACCCGGAUGGUACUGGAUCUUGCAAUCAUAGUCACUGAGCAGUUCGACCCAUCUUCUCUGCCUCAAAUUCAAAUCUCUCUGACUCAGGAUGUACUGCAGGCUUUUAUGAUCGGUGAAGAUCUCACAUUUUACCCUAUAAAGGUAAUGCCUCCACAUCUUGAGUGCAAAGAUUACUGCUGCCAUCUCUAGGUCAUGUGUAGGGUAAUUCAACUCGUGCUUCUUCAGCUGCCUAGAAGUAUAAGCAAUCACCCUUUCAUCCUGCAUUAGCACACAACCCAGUCCCACACGGGACGCAUCACAGUAGACUGAGAAGUCUUCAUUACUAGAUGACAGAGCUAACACUGGUGCUGAAGUCAACCUCUUCUUGAGCUCCUCAAAGCUCUCUUCACACUGGUCAGUCCACACAAACCUCUAGUUCUUCUUAGUCAAUCUGGUCAUGGGAGCUGCAAUUUUAGAGAAGUCCUGAACGAACCUCCUGUAGUAACCUGCUAAACCCAAGAAGCUCUUGAUCUCUGUCACUGUAGUGGGUCUAGGACAGUUAGCUACAGCUUCCACUUUCUUGGGGUCUACCUCAAUUCCAUUUUCUGACACAACGUGCCCCAAGAAUGAAAUGCUCCUUAGCCAGAACUCACACUUGGAGAACUUGGCAUACAAGCCGUGUUCCCUCAAGGUUUACAGAACUAACCUCAGAUGAUGGGCAUGCUCCUCUGCAUUCCUGGAAUACACUAAGAUAUCAUCUAUGAAGACAAUGACAAAGUGAUCCAGGUACUGACUAAACACUCUGUUCAUGAGAUCCAUGAAUGCUGCAGGGGCGUUGGUCAACCCGAACGGCAUCACAAGGAACUCAUAAUGCCCAUAUCUGGUCCUGAA
rnacentral:lncRNA from 1 species